rnacentral:rRNA from 1 species
AUUGAACGCUGGCGGCAGGCUUAACACAUGCAAGUCGAGCGGAGUGAUGGUGCUUGCACUAUCACUUAGCGGCGGACGGGUGAGUAAUGCUUAGGAAUCUGCCUAUUAGUGGGGGACAACAUCUCGAAAGGGAUGCUAAUACCGCAUACGUCCUACGGGAGAAAGCAGGGGAUCACUUGUGACCUUGCGCUAAUAGAUGAGCUUACGUCGGAUUAGCUAGUUGGUGGGGUAAAGGCCUACCAAGGCGACGAUCUGUAGCGGGUCUGAGAGGAUGAUCCGCCACACUGGGACUGAGACACGGCCCAGACUCCUACGGGAGGCAGCAGUGGGGAAUAUUGGACAAUGGGGGGAACCCUGAUCCAGCCAUGCCGCGUGUGUGAAGAAGGCCUUAUGGUUGUAAAGCACUUUAAGCGAGGAGGAGGCUUACCUAGUUAAUACCUGGGAUAAGUGGACGUUACUCGCAGAAUAAGCACCGGCUAACUCUGUGCCAGCCGCCGCCGUAAAAC